UCCGACUUCAUGAGGUCGAGUUGCAGACCCCAAUCCGAACUGAGACCGGCUUUCCGAGAUUCGCUCACCCUCACAGGCUCGCCACUCUCUGUACCAGCCAUUGUAGCAUGCGUGAAGCCCUGGACAUAAGGGGCAUGAUGACUUGACGUCAUCCCCACCUUCCUCCG
rnacentral:rRNA from 1 species